rnacentral:rRNA from 1 species
GACGAACGCUGGCGGCGUGCCUAAUACAUGCAAGUCGAACGAGUGGCGGACGGGUGAGUAAUGUCUGGGAAACUGCCCGAUGGAGGGGGAUAACUACUGGAAACGGUAGCUAAUACCACAUACCAUCGGAUGUGCCCAGAUGGGAUUAGCUAGUAGGUGGGGUAACGGCUCACCUAGGCGACGAUCCCUAGCUGGUCUGAGAGGAUGACCAGCCACACUGGAACUGAGACACGGUCCAGACUCCUACGGGAGGCAGCAGUGGGGAAUAUUGCACAAUGGGCGCAAGCCUGAUGCAGCCAUGCCGCGUGUAUGAAGAAGGCCCUAGGGUUGUAAAGUACUUUCAGUCGGGAGGCGUUACCGACAGAAGAAGCACCGGCUAACUCCGUGCCAGCAGCCGCGGUAAUAC